rnacentral:ncRNA from 1 species
UAACAAGCAUUGAGGAAGAAUAGUAACUUUAUGAAAUGCUCUAGAGAGCUGAUGGUUGGUGCAAAUCAGUGCAUGACAUUUAGUGAAUGGGCUUCUGAGCUCCAAAGCUGAACAAUUAGUAGGCUUUGGCGUAUGUCUACGUUACAGGACUUGCAAUAUAUUACUUGCAGUUAAGUGGAUUACAAUAGUAAUCAAAAAAGGUGGCACCACGGCUCUCCGUCCUUUGU